GCCCUGGUAGAUCAGUUGGAAGAUCCUCCGCCAGAAGUUCAUAGUCGCGUCGAUGUCUAUGGGGACGAUGCGGGUUCGAAUCCCGCCUGGGGCG